rnacentral:rRNA from 1 species
UACGGGGGGGGCAAGCGUUGUUCGGAAUUACUGGGCGUAAAGGGCUCGUAGGCGGCCAACUAAGUCAGACGUGAAAUCCCUCGGCUUAACCGGGGAACUGCGUCUGAUACUGGAUGGCUAGAGGUUGGGAGAGGGAUGCGGAAUUCCAGGUGUAGCGGUGAAAUGCGUAGAUAUCUGGAGGAACACCGGUGGCGAAAGCGCUCUGCUAGGCCGCAACUGACACUCAUGGACGAAAGCUAGGGGAGCGAAUGGG